UAGACCCACUCCAAUUUGCAUACCGCCCCAACAGAUCCACAGAUGAUGCAAUCUCUAUUGAGAGAAAUGGCCCUGUUUGUUUUUUUUUUUUUACCAGAAAAGGUAACUCAUCCACCAUGGCAGAAGAGGAAGUUCCAGACUGUUGUUUGGGAAACAAUAACAAAGAGGCAUGAGGAUUGGGUGUUGAGGGACGGGACCACAUUGUCCAAGUUCAUCCCUCAGGACAUCCCGUGCGUGGACGUGCUGUGCCAGUGUGAUUUUUGAGCGCAAGCAUCCAGUUGUGGAGAUCGAGCCUGUGGAUGGACAGAUCAGUAGCUCAUCAAAUGUGAUACAACAAUGAAUUUGUAAAUAUAUCUGCACAGUAUGUUUGUGUAUGGUUCUCAUGACUUAAGAUUGGAUGUUGAGGGACUACUUGUCACAUUGUCCAAGGUGGGUUUCUGUUAUGGUCAGAAAAAUGUGUUUUCUGUCUAGAUAAAAAUGGUUUUACAGCCUUAAAAAAGAUUCCCCCACUGACCAAAUAUCUCUUUGUUUACAAGUUCAACAGGAGUGCAUCCCUCAGACCAUCCUGUGCAUGGACAUCCUGUGUCAGUGGGAUCCGAGCGCUGGCGUCCAGUUGUGGAGACUACAGCACAUCGAGCCUGUGAACAGACAGCAGGUGCCGCUUCCAGUGAAUUGGAGCUGACCUUGGACCUGGUGCCAGUGAGGAUAGUCUUCACUGAGGCGUUAAGACCCUCCCUCUUGAUAUAAAAAUCCUUUGACUUCACUGCCCCUUCAAUGGUAAGGCCCCUUGCACCAUAGGGACACUUGACCUCCACCGCUGUGGUGGCCACUAGACCAUCUGGUGAGGCACCCAGGAUCCCAGACCCCAUGACUCCUGCACAUCCAUCCCUGUAGACAUUUUGAAUGCCUUGAUGUCCUCUUCUUUGUUAUCUGUGCCCCACUUUACAGACAACAUCCCACCCAAUGAUAAUCCACAGAAUCUGCUUCGGAGACGGUUCAGAGAGAGAGAGAGAGAGAAAGAGAGAGAUAACCAUACUGAAGAUCCUCCUCUGUGGGGUCUUGGGACAGAGGGUCGUAGUCUUCGGUCGAGUACAGGUCCUCCACUUGCUGCACCUGGUUGGACAUGGCUGGCUUCCUUCUCUUACAUUCCACACCCAUACGACCGAUAUUGUGAACCUCCAAAAUAGGCUGCAUGGCUACACUGAUAAGCUCUAUGGAGGCAUUUGCAUGUGGUAGAGAGAAUCCCCUGGUCAACUAUAGAGACCUGCCAAGAGGAAGGAUGUUAAGUGCCACAUGCCUUUCAAUGCAUGACUGUGAACACCUUGAAAUGCAUUAGUUGUAAGAAAUGUGCUAUAUAAAUAAAGUUUGAUUUGAUUGAUGACAC